rnacentral:sRNA from 1 species
UUUCAACCCUCAGGGCCCGUCCGCGGGACCUGGCGUUGGGGAUCGGUGCCCCUGGCGGUUCGCCGGCCCUGAAAUACAGUGGCGGUCUCUUCGCGAACCUCCCCUGCGUAGUAGUGAUACCUUGCAGCCGGAUAGCGGAGCGACCACGCCGUAAAACCCAAUACUUCUCAAGGUUGACCUCGGAUCAGGUAGGAAUACCGGUGAACUUAA